rnacentral:lncRNA from 1 species
GAAAAAAACCUCUCCUCACCUCCUCCCGUGUCCCCUCCUCUGCGCUCCUCCCCCCUCAGGCCCGGCUGAAUGGACGUGCUUGUGGAUGGCGGCGUGCAGGAACAUGCCAUGACUUGUAGCGGCCUGCCCGAGGCUUGUGGUCAGCUACUCCCUCACGCUGUGCUCCCACCGACCCUCAGAGAGAGAGAGAGAGAGAGAGAGAGAAGCCCCUCGCUGCCAAAACGUGCUCCUGGCGGAUGACCGGACUAGAUGCAGGCAUGGUGAGUCUUCUGUCUUCUCGGCUCUCUGUGUUACUCAGGGUGAACUUCCCAUCAGGCGCUCUAUAUCUCGCUAUUUAGCUUUUUAUAACCUUUUCCUGUUGCUGCCACUUUGCGUAAGGUUCAGACUGCCGUUGAUUCUGUUGUCGUGCUCUUCCUGUUGUUGUCUGUGUUAUCGUGCUGUCCUGUACACAGGCCACUGUGACCACACAGGUAGUACGAGGUCCGGCGAGACAGCUGAGAGUCCACACAUUGUCCUCAUAAUUCGAAGCCCAGUCCUGGGAAGAUCCUGGCAUUCUUGUCACGUUAACGGAACGCGGGGGCUCCUCCUCGGGAGCAAGCCGACUCGACGUUAAACCACAAGAAGCCACGCAAUCAGUUUCCUGAAAAACCAAAACCAUCUGAAACAGCCAGCUUGUACUAGAGGGAAAAUGAAGGACGGUUUCUGGGAAACCUUGUGAAAUCUCUUCUUCUGAGCUUGCUGGGAAGUCCUGGGACUCCUCUGUGGUGUUUUUCUCCCCCUGAGAGGAAGCGGUCCCCCUGUCAGACAUGUCUCGGAAGCGACACCAACAUCGGAGGGAUUUUCGAGGGAAGCGAGGCGUCAGCCGUGGCAGCCGUGAGUGUUUCUCUGGCAGUGUCUUAGCUGGUUGUUGUGAGGAGUGAGAAC